AAAAGAAGAAGAAAAAAAGGGGGGAAGCGAGAGAAUGAAGGCAUUCUAGUCCACAACCACCACGGCCGACUAGUCUCAACCACAGGUAACCCGCGGCUCUCAAAAUAAAACAAUAUACGAGGCAGUUCGCUCCACAGCAAGGUCGCGACCUGACAUCACGAGCCACUGCCAGACCGUGACCUCACACGGGAGAAGAAAAGAGACAACCAGUCCACUCCACGGGAUGGAAGCGAUGCACCUAUAAUCAUCGCAGCCUGGUCGCGACCCGUCUUAUUGCAGUUAAAGGCGAUAGCUCGAGCCCUAUGUUCGGUGCCGUACUUUCUCCAGCCUCUUCAUCAACGCACAACUGCAAACAAAAAAAAAUUUCCAG
rnacentral:lncRNA from 1 species